rnacentral:lncRNA from 1 species
AUGCAACAUACAAGCAAACAAGCAUAUAAAUACUGCCAUAGGCUCUUGAUUUCUACUACUCUAACUAAAGCCACUAGCAAAUCAGCACAUUCAAAAUACAUUGAAUGAAUGCAUUAAAAUAAAAAAUUGAAAACAUGUAUAUAGUUAAAUCUAUGUAAACAUCUCUAACUGAGGCAAAUAAUAAAUAUUUUUUUGAUAAAAAUAAGUAGACAUUUCCUCAAAUACCUUUCUUAUCCAUCGGGAUAUAUAGAG